CAUCUUAAGUUUCACAGCAUCCAAAAAAUGAAACUUGACAGUUGUUACAACAAAAUUUCUAAAUCUGCCAUCAAUCUGUCUACAAACAAUCACCAGUGUACAGUCUUAAAAGAACUACACUGGCUAGAUAUCCCACAAUAUCUUACCUACUCACAGCUACGUAUUGCCCAUAACUUAAUAUCUAAAAAAAAAGUCCAGCGCUAGGAAAUGCCAUAAAAUAUUCUCUACCUCGGGAAUUAUGCUGUCAAAAUGAAUCGCUUUUACUCACCACCAAAUGUAAUAAUACUGUUGAUGAAUCGCUCUACUCCUGCCAUGCCUCCAAACUCUGGCAUUCCCAAUCACCACACGUAAAGCAAAUUGAAAAAGAAAAGUUUUCAAAAAUCAGCUUAAACAAUACCAAAAUAACUCCUGGCUAUGCAUCUUCUUCUCAACCCUUUAACUAAAAACCAGAAACUACUGUUUAACUUACUAUUUCAAUCCAUAAUUUUAUCCCUCCCCAAAUUCACUCUGUUUCAAAAUACAAGUUUCUUCAAUAACAUUUCUCACUGUUAAAAGUUGAUCUAUGUACUAAUUAACUGUUAUACCUCUCUCACGCUCAUUUAACUAUAUAUAUAUAUAGAUAUAUAUAUAUAUAUAUAUAUAUAUAUAUAUGUGUGUGCAGUACUUUCUCUUUCUUUUCACUUUAUCUUGAUCUCUGGCAUCAAGUCAAAGUACCCAGUUUUAUAAUGCACAAAUAUCUGCUAGUAUAUUGUAAUGCAACUUAUGUUUAUCUAAUGUAUAUCAAUGUACGUUCAUUACAAUAUUUCAGGAUUUGAAUUAUGUUCAUGUACUUUAUUGAUAGUUUUUGUUUAAUCUUAUGUCUCUGUACUGCAAUUGUUAUCCCAUGUGAUUUGUUUUAAUGUAUGGCAUUGUAUAUUUUUUGUCUUUUCUCCCUUGGCCUCUGCUGAAACUUUUUUUUUUUUUUUUUUUUUUUUCAGAAUGACUUCCUGGUUAACACAAGGAAAUUAAAUAAAUAUAAAAACACAAACUAGAUUUUCUUGAGUUAAUUUCUGGCAGAUACACAGACAUUAUUCCAUCCUACAGUCACAAGAAAGGGUCAUUUCAGAAGUCUGGAAAAAAACUUGAGGCCUACGGACGAUCAAGGAGCUUGAUGCCUCAGAUCUCAUCUUGGAACUUGUGUGCCCACUUAAUCAUUCAAUUCCAUCUUGAAGGGACUUCCAUGGAGAACGACCCAAUAGGGAACGGCAAAUCAAACCUAGCAAGAUGUCAAUUUCCACAGUCAACCCAAGGAGAACCUCCCAGAUUAUUUUCCAGACCAAAAUAAGAUGGUUCUCUCAUGCCUGGAUUGGGCACCAGAAUAGCUGCAGAGGAUGUGGCUAACCCCAGAGACCAUGGUGGCUGAAGAGGCUACAACAGAGGAACCCAGAACAAUAAAAUAAGUGGUCUUUGGAAAAAUGGUUGUACACUACAGAGUCACCCACCAAUGGCUCAGGCAAUGUCUGAGCACACAGUGGCGGCAAGGGAUCCUUAUUGUAUUGCUUCUUCUUUUUACAUUCAGGGAGAAAAGAACCAGCAGGACUGGAAUACAUAUCUAUGCUGUCACUGGGAAAGAAGACUGUUUAUCAGUUAGUGCUGCUGGAAACAGUUCAUCAGAAGUAAAUUGUUAAACAAAGUUCACAAGCAGUACACAGAAAUCCUUGAGAGAAUUCAUACUCCCUUUUUUGAAGUGAUGUAAACAACUGAAGGCAUGUUGUCAUGAAGUCUACACAAGCAUUCAAAAAAAAAAAAUUUUCUGCUCUGUAAAACACUUCCUGAUCCUUAAAACUUAUGUAUACAAAUAAAAGAUCUCAAAAGUAGUACAUUUUUACCACAAAAUAGCCCCAAUUACUUAAAAAUAAGUUUUGUUCUAAAAUGUGGUCCCUUCAGAUACUGUAAAAAAAAAUCCAGGUUUUCUUAAAGGGAAAAUACUGCUUUCAGUCAGCAAAUAAAAUGUGUAAUGUAUGCUCAUAGGUAAAAACUAAGCUAACUGCCUCAAAGGGCCAUUUUAAACCUAGCCAACAGCACAGGUCAGAAUCAAACCCUGUGCUUUGUGUUUAUGAGGGAAAGACCUUAACCAUAACACCAAACCCACCUUUUUAAAAGAGCAAUCAUUUUGGUGUGGAAGAGUUCCCCUAUGAGGAGUUACCUGCCAGAAACGAAGCUUUAACGGACAAGAUAGCUUAUAUAUUUUACAAAAAAAGUAGUAUAAAGUUCUGUGUACUUACUAAUUUUUUUAUUACAUGUUAUUGGAGUACAUGGGUUGGAAACUUUAAACUUGGAAGCAACCUAACCUUAAAGCUCGUUAAAAGAGUUUCAGAUUCAACUCACUGUAAUACAAACAGUCUAACACAGCUGGUUUUACUGCACAUAUUCAGAGAGAAUACAGUGCUUAAAUCUCACACAUAUAUAAGUUUUUAAUCUCACAGUUUGCAAAAUGUCAUCACAAUACAGAUCACUAGGGAGAUAAAGCAGAUCGUGCUUAUACUAGGGUACUUAAAAAUAAAGCAAGAUCCUUAAAAUGUUAUAGCAAGUCAGAUUCAGUUUGCACUUCGCACUAAAAUGAAAAUGUUUUUAAAAACUGUAUUUUAAUUUUUGAUGCCGUUUACAGUUGACUACAGUUUUCAAUACACUUCUAAUCCUACAGCAGACUUGACUGAAGUGUGAACAGUUGAUAGUCAUUGCUCUGGGUUACCCUAGUAGUCCUUAACAGAAAUGAAAAUGAACAGAAUUCCUAUAAUUCUUCUUUUCAGGUACUUCAAAAUAAAUUCUCAAAAACAGCAUUUCUGCAACAGUUUAUAAAACAUAAGCCUUAAUUAUAUGCUUACAUCACAAAAUGUAUCAAGCAUUUAUAAUGUUUUUUUCUAAAUACUUGAGUACCUCACAGCAGUAUGCAAGUUUGUAUUUGUGAGUAAUACUUCCUUCAAUUUCAGUCUUUACUUUAGUAUGAGCACUAAUCAUUUCCUAUCUCCCAAUUUAUAAAUAAAUUGUUUUCCUUAUUAAUUUGCAGUCUCCUGGUAUGGUAACACCAGUUUUGUUCAUUAUACUGGUAGAGCUCAUCUGUAUGACAAGAUACUGUGCACAGUAUUAAUUUUUUAUUGAGGUACCUGAGACAGCAAGCCUCUUAUGUGAACAAAUAAUUUGCAUAUUUAUGUCCAUCUUAAUACAUUGUUAUAAUGUACAGCAUGAGUAAUCACAAUGCUUCAAGAAAGAUGUCAUUAAAAAUACAUGGCUGUAUACAUGGAGAUUCAUUUGAGAUAUAAUCAUUUCAGUUUCAUGUAAGAAAAUAAUGUCUGCACACUUGACAAAUAAAACAACUCAUGUACCUUUAACUGUG